rnacentral:misc_RNA from 1 species
GAUGAAGAACGUAGCGAAAUGCGAUAAGUAGUGUGAAUUGCAGAAUUCAGUGAAUCAUCGAAUCUUUGAACGCACAUUGCGCCCCUUGGUAUCCCAUGGGGCAUGCCUGUUCGAGCGUCAUUUGUACCUUCAAGCUCUGCUUGGUGUUGGGUGUUUGUCCUUGCUCUAGUGGCGGGACUCGCCUUAAAGUAAUUGGCAGCCAGUGUUUUGGUUUUGAAGCGCAGCACAAGUCGCGAUUCAAGUCUAUACGCUAGUUUCCACAAGUCUUUUAUCACUUUUGACCUCGGAUCAGGUAGGGAUACCCGCUGAACUUAAGCAUAUCAAAAGCGGAGGA